UGGGGCGUAGCCAAGCGGUAAGGCACCGGGUUUUGAUCCCGGCAUUUCGUAGGUUCGAAUCCUGCCGCCCCAGCCA
rnacentral:tRNA from 3 species